rnacentral:lncRNA from 1 species
UGACAAAACACUGAGUAUAUGCAAAAUUUGAAAAUUAACAUACACACAGUAUUUGCUCAGUUUUACAAUGUGCAUUAAUUCAGAAUAUUCAAUUUUCAGUUCUUUCCUUAUGCAUAAGAUUGAUCUUAAUAGCUCUUAAGUAAAUUUAGCAUAUCAACUUAAAUUGAAUCAAGUUAAAAUGAAAUAUUGAUGCUAAAUAUAAUUGAGAGCAAAAUUUAGCAAUUAUCUUAAAGCCAAUAAGUAUGAAUUUUAAAUUUUGCAUUUCAUAUUCAAUAGUCAUAUUCAAAAUUCUAUUCCCCCUU